GAGAGAGAAAGAGAUGUAUGAGAAACCAAGAAAAAGAGGAGGACAUGUACAUUUUUCUUGAGUCCUCACUGUAACUAUUACAUUUUCAGAUAUUUCAUCCCUUUCCGUGUGUGCAUAAUUGACCAGCCAACAUGGUGACCUAUCCCCAACUGAAUUAACUUUACCCUCAUAUCAAACAAAAAUGACUUCAAUUGCAACUGAACUUAUUCAUAUAAUUGUAAUCACUAAUUGUUAAUUCUCAUUAACCUCUAAUUAAGUAUUCAAAAUAUCACAUUACCAUUGAUACCAUGUUUUGUAUUUUCUUCUUCUAUUAUGAACUGCACAAGGAACACUCCACAACUGAACUUACUUAAGCAGGCUCAUAGAUGAUAUCUUGUCUGCGCAGUGGAUUACCUAGAAUACUGGACUUUCCAUCAGCUUAUUCAUGACUGCACUUACUUUUUGUCAGCCUAUGUGCUCAAAAUAAUGAGAGGAUGAAUGGUUUAGUUGGACACUGACCUGCUUCUUCCUGGUGAUAUCCAUUGUAAUUUUUGUUGGCGAUAUAAUGUGCUUGACAAGCUGCCGAGAUAAUUCAUAUGCCUCUCAGUCAUGUUUCUUAUAUUUUGUAUACUUUCAUUUACUAACUCAAUCUAACUCACACAGUAUAACUUUAUUGUAGUUGCUUGAGCUGAAGCAUUGAGAUGGUGAAACAUUAACUAUUGCUGAUUCUAAACUUGGAAAUGCUAUAAAAGAGAAGUUGGUCAGUUAGGUUCCUUAGUUGCGCUGUUCCUGUAGAAUUACCAGUUCCGCUUACAGGUUUUAUGUGCUUUUGCAGAAAAUUGGCUGCGUUCACAAUAGUGAUGUGAUGGAGCUAAUGAGAGGGCUCAUAAAUCAGCUUAGUGAGCUUAUAUCUUGGUUGGGCACACAGGACCUUGGUCCGAGGAGCUUGGGACUUUCCCACAACUUGUCUAGAUACAAGCUGAAAUUCAGUCCUAAAAAGGUGAGUCAAUACUGUGAUUAGUUCACUUGGCUGAACCAUGUUAGUACAGAGCUAAAUAUCCAUAGAAAACAUGCAAAGUUUCUGAUAGAUCUUAUUCAGAUGUUGUAAACGACGUCAACUAGAUGCUUUUUGUCGAUAUUGCAUUAUUACCAAAUAAAACAAAUAAAAUAAUGUGGCUUUGUGGUUUGAGACUGAUACUGAUACUUCAUAUUAGUUGCUAAAAAUAUGUGCUUCAGUAUUUGACUACUUGUGCGAGGGUGCACAUGUAAGCCGUGAUGGGUUUCUAGAGUAGGUUAUGUCUCCAUUAUGAAAUUUUCCAUACCAUGCAAUAACCUGCUAAAAAUGGAUAUUCUCAAAUAGUACUAAGAAAAUAGUAUUGUUUCUAUUUAUUUUAAUAUGAGCGCCUCUAUUUAGAGGAUUCUAUGUCUAAUUAUUCAAAGUUCUAAUAUAUGAAGAUAUAUGCUCAUCUUUAUUUUGUUUGAUGCAUUUCUCAUUGAGAAACUGGAAUAUGAAACUAUUAUUAUCUAUCAGGUGAGGAAUUCAUGGGCUUGUAACAUGGAAAAAUAAUUGUAAGUGUAGUUUCAGGAAGUCACAGCUAGGAGUGGUGGGUGGACAUAUAACUGUCUGUUAGCCCUUUUAUGUGUUUCUGAAUGAAGUGGGAACUAAUGCUAGAUUCUUUUCCUGAUACAUAAUUGAUAUGUACACUUACCACACUAUCGUGAUCACAAAUGUUUACAACUGUCUGAAUCGUGUGAUUGCAAAGUAGAACCCACAUGAUUGAUACUGAUGAUGUAAUGUGUUAUCUGCAGUAUAUCUCAAUUUUGAAUGUGACAUGUACUGUAUGUAUAUGCAAAAAUUGAGCUUUUUGUCAA